CGGCCGCGAGCUGCUGGCGGCCGCGGAGCCGGCGCUGCAGGCGCUGGAGCAGGGCGUUCUGCGCGCGCGCCGUCGAC
rnacentral:tRNA from 1 species